GAGGAAGUCCUCUUUGACGCACCACCACCACCGCUGAAAUACCACAGGAGGGGAAUCAAACCAACAUGGAUCCUCCUCCAUUCCUGCACAAGACCUGCGUUUAUACCGGUCACUCAGAAAAUAUCACAGGUGUCCUAUUUGUGAUCCAGCAGCGUGAUUGUGUGUCACGUAAUGAAGUGGAUAUCAUGGCUGCCUCGGCCAAUGAGAAUACACGUGUCCUCACACUCACAACUCACACGUGUGCUGCAGAACAUGCUACAUUAGGAGAGAAGGGUUCAGUGAUCCUCCUCAACGCACAGAUAUCCUUUUCCCUUCACACACCUCCACCACAUUCACACAGGUGUAAAUAAGCAGGCCGGCCUACCUUGAACUCCUGCAGCUGCUGUUUGAUCGUCUCCACCUCCGUGCCGACCAUGCCCUGAGCGUUCAGCCCGUCCUCGGCCCUUCCCAGCAGGCCUUGCAGCAGGGCCACCAGCCUGUAGAACUCUCGGACCCUCUCAGCCGCGUCCUCGAUCUGGUCUAACCUGGCCUGGCCGCGCUCGCUCAGCUGGAGAACAGAGUACAUAAUGAAGGAACUCUAAAUAAAUAGUUAUACGUCACAUAGAUGGAGCUGAACAAUUCCACCGCCAUCAUCAUCAUCAACCUCCUCCCUCACCUUGCCCGCCUGGCGGCUCAGAGCCUCCGACUCCCUCCUGAGAGCCAGGAGGUCGGGGGAGGAGCCUUCCCGCCGCAGCAUGGUGGUGCACUCCGUCGUGUGACCCUCCAGCUCCGCCCUGAGGUCGGACAGACGCAGCAGGAAGCCCUUCAGGGAGUCGGCCUGAGAGGCGAGGGAGUCGGCGUCGCGUCCGACGGGGCUGAAGGAGUCCAGCUCGUCGUCGAGGUCGGCGAUGCGCGAGAAGACGUCGCGCACGUUGGACUGGACCUCGCCGACGCCCUGCAAGCGGGAUUCGAGGGAGGAGCAGCACUGCUCAAUCUGACGGAGGAAGGAGAGGUAGAGGGGUGAGUGCACCAUUUAAAAAAGUAACGUCUGCCCUGCAGCUGAGCGGUAGGAUUAAAAUCCCCCAAAAAUAAUGGAAGGUGGUUGUGUGAUGGCUGGAACCUUAAAUGGAAGAUUUGGGAGCUGGAUUGCAGAAAGUCGAAGCUACGGGUGCUGAAUUGACAAAGCUGUGUUGAACGUCGACAAUGACCAUAUACGGCGACUAACUCAAAUGGCCAAACUCUUCUGGCGGUUGUUCUGCGUUCAAUCAGCUCAACACAAUUGUCUGCUACGCGCCCAAACAACACGUGCCCCGACAGCCUCAAGCCUUUACUAGAAAAAAACAAAAGAAGUAUCCGCUUGAGGUCUCUUCUCAUGACCAAUACCCACACGGUCUGGUACACCAGAAAGAAUAUUUAGGAUGUCAAAUGCACUUUGCCAAAUACACCAGGAUGUCCUGGCAGCAGCAGAGUUGAGCCAACCACCAGGUUAGCUUCAGUACACUGCUUCACUGACCAGACGCCAACAGCAUUUUUUGUUCUUAGUCUCAUUUAGCCCCUUUUAAAACUCUUUAAAGGCUUCAAAAAGUGGGUUACUUUACAUUAGAGAACAUAUUCAAUGUUGAAUGUCCCGUGUUAACCGCAGAACCAUCAAGCAUCAACCCAAAACCACCCUUGAGGGAUCUGGAAGUGCAACAAAAAGCAUUUAAUUCUCAUCCCUUUAUCUGAGCAGGACUGGCCGAGGUUCACGUCGUAGUUUGUAUUGUAUUUGUAUCGAAUGCACACUGCAUGCACCAGUACCCACGUUGUAAGCGCCGGCGCCGGCCUCUCUACCAUUAAAGAGCAGAAUGCUCCUCACCUUGUCAGUCACGUCAUCG
ensembl:lncRNA